CCUACGGGCGGCAGCAGUCGAGAAUCAUUCACAAUGGGGGAAACCCUGAUGGUGCGACGCCGCGUGGGGGAAUGAAGGUCUUCGGAUUGUAAACCCCUGUCAUGUGGGAGCAAAUUAAAAAGAUAGUACCACAAGAGGAAGAGACGGCUAACUCUGUGCCAGCAGCCGCGGUAAUACAGAGGUCUCAAGCGUUGUUCGGAAUCACUGGGCGUAAAGCGUGCGUAGGCUGUUUCGUAAGUCGUGUGUGAAAGGCGCGGGCUCAACCCGCGGACGGCACAUGAUACUGCGAGACUAGAGUAAGGGAGGGGGAAGCGGAAUUCGCGGUGUAGCAGUGAAAUGCGUAGAUAUCGAGAGGAACACUCGUGGCGAAGGCGGGUGCCUGGACAUUAACUGACGCUGAGGCACGAAGGCCAGGGGAGCGAAAGGGAUUAGAUACCCGGGUAGUC
rnacentral:rRNA from 1 species